rnacentral:rRNA from 1 species
AUGUGUGAUCCUCUUGGUAUUAACGAUGUCGACAUUCCCAUAACCGAAGAUAAUAUGUGCGAUAUUCUUGGUAUCAACGAUGAGGUGGUCCCUGAGCCACCACCUUCUCCACCUAGUGAGGAAGUUUACAUGACCGAUGAGGAGGACCGUCAGCUUUUCAUUGAGGCUGCCAUUCCCGUGGAUGAUAGUGUGCCACCAGAUGAGGAGAUUGCAUAUGACAAAGAGAACCCGCAGAUGUAUCUUGGUGCUUUGUUUCCUUCAAUGAAAGAUUUUAGGAUGGCUAUCAGACAAUAUCUCUACUACCUAAAAGAAACCUAA